rnacentral:lncRNA from 10 species
ACUCCCGGUCUCUUCCUCUGAAGAUGCUGGAGACUUUGUUGCAAGAAAGGAUGGCUUUAGGUCAUGUUGCUGAGGCCUGAUCUUAAAGAUCUAAUUGCUAUUGGAAGAGAAUCCUGUUUCCCAACUGGGCCUCCCCUCUGGAGAUGGAGCAAGGAAGACUGUCCAACUCUGCUCUGGGCACCCUGCUGAUGGAUGAGGUGUCAGGCCAGUCGUCAUGUGAGGACUGGUUUCCAAAUGCAGAUACAAAAAGAAAAAUUACUGUCAUGUGAUGUGUGAUCCAUGAUACCGUCAUAGUUUUGUUUUGCUGUGCUCCACCUUCAUACCUUCGCCUAUGUUAGAACUUCUGAGAAGCUGAAGCAUCACAUAUAAAAAGCCAAGACCAUCCUCAAGGAGUUUAAUGAAUGUGGCAUCACAAGAAAAAUAUGCAUCAACAUUGAAAAGAAAAGAAAUAAAAUUCCAUUAACAGAGCUUGAGGAAGUGGACUUGACUAAGCUGGAGUAAGGAGUGCAGAGAGUGAGGAGACAGGAUGCGAAACAAGAAGAUGAGGAAACUGAAGCCUGAGAACAACAUGAAUUCUACAAUACAUUUACCG